GAUGAACGCUAGCGGCAGGCCUAAUACAUGCAAGCCGAACGGCAAGUUGAGUAGCAAUACUUGACCUAGAGUGGCGUAAGGGUGCGUAACACGUAUGCAAUCUGCCCGCAACAGGAGAAUAGCUCCCCGAAAGGGGAAUUAAUACUCCAUAAGAUCACACGAGGGCAUCUGAGAGUGAUUAAACUUUAAGGGGUUGCGGAUGAGCAUGCGGUUGAUUAGCUAGUUGGUGAGGUAACGGCUCACCAAGGCGAUGAUCAAUAGGGGAACUGA
rnacentral:rRNA from 1 species